AGGAGCAAGAGACGUGCCCGUAAAUUUAUGGAAAGUAUGUUCAGACUCUGCAAAUCAAUGGGCUGAUACAUUUAACACAAAGUUAACAGCGAGACUUAACAAUCUCCAGACAACAUUUCCUGGUGCCAAAUUUGUCUACGUAUACAUGUAUAAUCUAGUCUCUAUCUCAUCAAAAAUCCUCAGGCUUCAGAAUUGUGUCCAUUUGGCUAGAGCCUAGAGCGACAAGCCGACAAAGAUUCAGUGGGUUCAUCUAUCGGGUCUGUAUAUGAAUCUUUAUGUACACAUUGUUAUCCCUUUUUCCGAAGAUUUUAUCGGUGGAUUCACCGCUUUAGAUUCCUUCAUUUUUUUUCUUUGAGGAGAAAAUUUUACCAUCAAAGUUUCUACGAAAGGAGAUGUCUCGGACUCGUUACUAAGAAAAUUUUUCAACUCAAGUUUACUAUCUUGUGUAACGGUCUCUAUGGAUCAGAAAAUGCAAUCAAAAUUUCUUAGGAUUUCUCGUAGGUGACGGUUGAAUCUCAACCUAAAGUGACUAUUUUUUAGCUAUCCAAUUUUGUCGUGAAGGCCAUAUCGAUGGAUUCAAGUUUCGCCUCGAGCUCGCUGUCAUUUUUUUAAGAAGACCUAUUUGUUUUAUCUCUCUUUGUUUUUGUAAUUUAUGCUUACCAAAGAUUAUGAAUAAUUCAAUAUUUUUAUUGUAUCCCAACAAUUUGAGUUUAAUGAAAGUAAUUGAUGAGUUUAA